AUGUAGUAUUCUAUGAAACCACUUUUCGUCCACGUUUUCUGAAUAAAAAUAGUUGACGAAAAGCGGAAAAGGAAUAUCAUGAAUAUCUAUGGGAACAUUGAAAUUCUAAGAGGUUAGGAUCUCUUAACGGAAGACUCUCGGACGGAAGUCCUUGUCAAACAUGAAAAAGGCUAAUGCAUAAUGUAGAAAAAGAGGAAGGAGAGGAAGAUAAACGCCCGAUGGUGACAUAUGUACAAAUCGCUCGUGAUCGAACGUGUAGAGUGCAUCGAUCAAAUUUCGGAUGUCAUGAUUUGUAUUACUGUAAUGUAUAAAUAAUCGAACGUUUCUUUAAAUGUUUCUAACUUGUAGAAUAUAAGAAUGAUAUGUUAAUGAUAUUUAAUACAUUUUUAUAUCUUGAUGAAAGAAUAUCAUUCUGAAUGUUAAGUCCAAAAUAGAGAAACUAUUAAACGUUAUAUUAAAACCGAUUAAAUUAAAAUGUGCUUAAACAUGUUCUAUCCACAUGAAAAAAUUACCUAUUUUUUUUUCUUUUUUUUCCUAUAUGUAAAAAAGCAGAGGAACAUUUGAAUUCAAAUACUCCUGUUUAACAUGGAUAUUAUGUCAACGAUUUCCCUCAUUUAUUGGACUUUUUUUCGUUCUCUAUUCUCUUCUUUGCCAGAAGGGGGGGGGGGAAUAGUCUGGCUCGAAUUACGAAACUAUCGCAAAUGAGCUUUUUCAAUAGAAACCUAUUCCAGCAAGAAACUCGUAUGGUUAUACGCAUGAUAUGCUAUCUGGAUAUGGUGCUGACAAUGAACCUCGAUCGCACACCGCCCUCAAGCCUAUAUGUCUUGCUGACAAUUUAGCAGCGCGAUUCGUACGAUACUGUCGAUACGAUAAACUGCUCGGGGAACGCGAGAUGCUUGCAAAUUGGCGGCAACUAUGUCGCCACAUGUAACACAAAUUGAGGUUAAUUAAAGAGGGAAAUAUAGCGUGGUAAUACGGUCAUGAUACGUCUAAAUGCAUUCAUAUUUUUAAUAGACCUUCAGACUUAUACGAAAUCAGCUUUAAUUCACAAUGUAAUACGAUAAGUACGAUAAAUUAUACAGGGUAUCUAGAAAUGAAAUAAAUAAAUUAGUUUUAUAUAAAAUUACAUGUAGACAAACUGAUUUACAUUUUUUCUUUGAAAAGCAAGAUUUGAAAAAAUUGUAUCUAAUUUUAGAUGUGUGCAGAGAAUGAGCACAAGAAUUUAUCUAUGCCCUUGUACACGAUAAUUAAAAAAUUAAUAACAUUAACGUAUGGAUAAAUAGUCUUCAUAUACAAAGAUCACGAAUACCAAUUUGUAUUUCACUUUGAACUUUAACUAUCAGCGAAUUUCAGCGUUAUGCUUCAAGUCGCGUUAUAAUUUUAAUCUGCUUCAGAGGAGGUACAAAUGUCAGUGGCACUAAGAAUAAACAUAGACAUUACGAUAAGCAGGAAAUCAGAAAAUGAGUGUCACUCGUGCUUCAAGAUUCAUAUAUCAAGCUAUCCUGUUAUUCGCGUGUACUAUAUGCUACGAAAGAAAAUCGAGACAGUUUUCCGUGGGCGAAACCGAGUCUUUCGAGAUCCCGUGAAAAAUAUGCAUGUCACAGUAUCAUCGUGAAACCUUUUCCGACACGAUAAAACACGACGUCGCGAAUUGCUCACAUGUUGUCGAGGCCCCGUGCUUCUCUUCUUUUUCCCUCCCUUUUUACUUUCCUCCCUCCCUAACCCUCUUUCUCGCACGUAAUAUGAUUCCAUCACGGCAAUGGCAAAUAUUGCACGCAAUUUCCCCUCAAAUUGCUCUCGUGUAACUUAAUUCGCUGGCGAUGGCGAAGCGCGUCAACCCUCCUUUUUUUCCAUCGGUGAUAAUUUCUCUCACGAUAUCAGUCACACAGAUACGCUUUUUUGUCAGGGUCUCCGCCAUGUUAGACGCUCGCGACGAUCCACCAGAAUCGAAACUCUUUUUUAUAUACGAUUACGACUUAGCCUGCAUACAUACUUUAGUUGUUGCAAAAAAGAAUCAUGGAAAUUUGAUAUUUUAGUUGGUUUAAGUUUAAGUUAACUCUCAUCUUUUAAGGUAUUCAAUAAUAGAUCAACAUUUUUUAACUGGAAAGAAAAUAUCGAAAGAAGAGAUAAACAUCCAUAGUUUUAUUAUGGUACAG